rnacentral:rRNA from 1 species
ACGGAGGGUGCAAGCGUUAAUCGGAAUUACUGGGCGUAAAGCGCACGCAGGCGGUUUGUUAAGUCAGAUGUGAAAUCCCCGGGCUCAACCUGGGAACUGCAUCUGAUACUGGCAAGCUUGAGUCUCGUAGAGGGGGGUAGAAUUCCAGGUGGAGCGGCGAAAUGCGGAGAGCUCUGGAGGAAUACCGGUGGCGAAGGCGGCCCCCUGGACGAAGCCUGCCGCUCAUGUGCGAAAGCGUGGAACGCAAGGAG